GAUGAACGCUAGCUACAGGCUUAACACAUGCAAGUCGAGGGGUAACGAGAGGAAAGCUUGCUUUCCUUGUCGACGACCGGCGCACGGGUGAGUAACGCGUAUCCAACCUGCCCCCAACUAGGGAAUAACCUUGCGAAAGUAAGACUAAUACCCUAUAAUUUCCUCAGAUGUCAUCUGACGAGGAAUAAAGAUUUAUCGGUUGUGGAUGGGGAUGCGUCUGAUUAGCUUGUUGGCGGGGUAACGGCCCACCAAGGCAACGACCAGUAGGGGUUCUGGGAGGAAGGUCCCCCACGUUGGAACUGAGACGCGGUCCAACCUCCUACGGGAGGCAGUAGUGAGGAAUAUUGGUCAAUGGGCGGAAGCCUGAACCAGCCAAGUAGCGUGCAGGAUGACGGCCCUAUGGGUUGUAAACUGCUUUUAUACAGGAAUAAAGUUAGCCACGUGUGGUUAUUUGUAGGUACUGUAUGAAUAAGGACCGGCUAAUUCCGUGCAGCCGCCGCCGUAA
rnacentral:rRNA from 1 species